UCCUCCGCAAAGGCAGCCGUCGUGACCACUCUGGCAAGCGGCAGAUCCGAUCUGAUAAAUUGCUAGAUGUGCGCCGCCACCGUUGCCUGCACCACCGGUUCAACAAGGCUGCACGUCGGCGACCUUCCUCGUCUCUCGUUCCCAUAUCGCAUGGCCACAAUGCAUGUCUCCCAAGAAAGGCCAACAAUCCUGCUGCACUAUCUAUUGAUUUGUCACCGUCUUACUUCCUCCACGACUCAGAUGCUUCGGGCUGUCAGGGAAUACAACAUCAAGGACGACAUGGCAAACAAGAUCGAGGGGUUUGGGCAAGGGCACCCCAGCUUCUACCCGCCCGCGUCAUGGAUCACACCUUCAAUCACGAUGCCUAGGUCACAUUUGAAUUAGCGAAAUUCGACGUAUGGAAGCAGUUUGACUUUACUUGGCAGUAGAACUUCCUCUCUCUUUGUAAACUAACCAAGAAUUAGUAUGAACCAUGUGUAAUUAUGAUGAAAUAUGUUUCUCUUUAAUGGAAGGAAAAUAACAUUUUAUUGGGAGCAAUUCUCUAGUCCAUGGAGAUAA